AUUGAACGCUGGCGGCAGGCUUAACACAUGCAAGUCGAGCGGAGAUGAGGUGCUUGCACCUUAUCUUAGCGGCGGACGGGUGAGUAAUGCUUAGGAAUCUGCCUAUUAGUGGGGGACAACAUUCCGAAAGGAAUGCUAAUACCGCAUACGCCCUACGGGGGAAAGCAGGGGAUCUUCGGACCUUGCGCUAAUAGAUGAGCCUAAGUCGGAUUAGCUAGUUGGUGCGGUAAAGGCCUACCAAGGCGACGAUCUGUAGCGGGUCUGAGAGGAUGAUCCGCCACACUGGGACUGAGACACGGCCCAGACUCCUACGGGAGGCAGCAGUGGGGAAUAUUGGACAAUGGGCGGAAGCCUGAUCCAGCCAUGCCGCGUGUAUGAAGAAGGCCUUUUGGUUGUAAAGCACUUUAAGCGAGGAGGAGGCUACCUGGAUUAAUACUCUAGGAUAGUGGACGUUACUCGCAGAAUAAGCACCGGCUAACUCUGUGCCAGCCGCCGCCGUAAUAC
rnacentral:rRNA from 1 species